rnacentral:rRNA from 1 species
GACAGAGGCCCCAAGCGUUAGGCGGAAUCACUGGGCUUAAAGCGUGUGUAGGCGGAUCGUUAAGUGUCUUGUGAAAUCCCACGGCUCACCCGUGGAACUGCUGGGCAUACUGGCGAUCUUGGGCCAACUAGGGGCAGCCGGAACAAGCGGUGGAGCGGUGAAAUGCGUAGAUAUCGCUUGGAACGCCGAAGGUGAAAACAGGCUGCUGGGGUUGCGACCGACGCUGGAGACACGAAAGCCAGGGGAGCGAAACGGG